rfam:Stegodyphus mimosarum contig112164, whole genome shotgun sequence.
GCCUUCGUGGUGUAAUUGGAAGCAUACUCGACGCGUGCUCAAGAGGUCUAGGGUUCGAGUCCCGGUGAGGGCA